UACGGGGGGGGCAAGCGUUGUUCGGAAUUACUGGGCGUAAAGCGUGCGCAGGCGGUUUCUUAAGUCAGAUGUGAAAGCCCCGGGCUUAACCUGGGAACUGCGUUUGAAACUGGGAGACUUGAGUGUGGCAGAGGGGGGUGGAAUUCCACGUGUAGCAGUGAAAUGCGUAGAUAUGUGGAGGAACACCGAUGGCGAAGGCAGCCCCCUGGGUUAACACUGACGCUCAUGCACGAAAGCGUGGGGAGCAAACAGG
rnacentral:rRNA from 1 species